rnacentral:rRNA from 1 species
AUUGAACGCUGGCGGCAGGCCUAACACAUGCAAGUCGAACGGUAACAGGAAGAAGCUUGCUUCUUUGCUGACGAGUGGCGGACGGGUGAGUAAUGUCUGGGACACUGCCUGAUGGAGGGGGAUAACUACUGGAAACGGUAGCUAAUACCGCAUAACGUCGCAAGACCAAAGAGGGGGACCUUCGGGCCUCUUGCCAUCGGAUGUGCCCAGAUGGGAUUAGCUAGUAGGUGGGGUAACGGCUCACCUAGGCGACGAUCCCUAGCUGGUCUGAGAGGAUGACCAGCCACACUGGAACUGAGACACGGUCCAGACUCCUACGGGAGGCAGCAGUGGGGAAUAUUGCACAAUGGGCGCAAGCCUGAUGCAGCCAUGCCGCGUGUAUGAAGAAGGCCUUCGGGUUGUAAAGUACUUUCAGCGGGGAGGAAGGGAGUAAAGUUAAUACCUUGGCUCAUUGACGUUACCCGCAGAAGAAGCACCGGCUAACUCCGUG